GAUCGGUGGUGGCAGCGGCGGCGGCGGCGGCGUCGGCGACGGGUCUUAGGUAGGGAUUUUUUGAAUGAAUGAAUAGUCGCUAUUCAUUACUCCCCAUAGUUGAUGAUAUUUUGUCGUACCAUAUUAUCCUAUAUCUCUCGAUCGCUCUGUAUCAAUACUACGCACGUAAUUUAUUAUCAUAUAACGUUUUAAUUUUUCUUGUUCAUUUAUUUUUAAAUGUUUAAAUGCGAAUAAUGUUUUUUUGAAAUUCGUAUGCAAGUCAAAUUUGAUCGCUCACCGAAAAACACAUCUCGAAAUGUUUAAAUCUCGACAAUGUCCUUUGGGAUUCACUUUGAAACGUAAUCUAACUAGACACGAAAAAAAUCACAACGCCUAGCGUAUCCCGUGUAUUAGGUGUGGUAUUACGUUCAGUUAUAAGGCCGGUCUCAAUAAACAUUUGAAAAAUGUUCAUGGUAUAGUACAAAUCGCGCCACACGUUUUUGUACCAGACUUACAGCCUGGUACAUCAUCCGUUCGUAAAGAUUGCGUAUCAACUGGACGAGAUGAACAAAAUGUCCGCUUAUCACCCAUUCGAGAUAACGCGAUGGAUGAAUUUUAGAGUAAUGUGAAUGAAUGCUUGGAAGUUCUAGACACCGUUGAGAAUCUCGGACUUUAUAAUUCUCAAGAUUCAUACACUACGCUCGAUAAUGGCAAACGUGUCUCCAGUGCAAAUACAACGUCGGCUGUUAGGCUAAAAAAAUUACGUUUAAAUCUCGUAAAGUCUUCAAGAUUUACACAAAUCUCUACAUCAUCAAAUCAUGCAAUUACCUGAUAUUACGUGAAAAAUACCGGGAAAUUUAGACCUUCAUUAUGCAAUACGUACCUAUAAUCUUAAACUUCAAACACCUAACUUCAUACCAGUAUUUUUUCAUAAUUUAUCAAAUUAUGAUGCACAUUUUAUUGUCACUCGUCUCGGGUAUGAUACAAACUCUAUCUCGGUAAUGAUCCAACACAACCAAAAUCAUGGCUUGUUUAUCAGGAUUGUAACAACUUGUACGUGUUGGACACCGUAAAGUCACAAGUGUAGUUUAACAGUUCAAAGUUUCUAUUGAAAUCGUUGGGCUCAGAGAAAAUAGAAUUUGUACUCUCGUUCAUGUAUUCCAGUGUUCUGGGUUCGUUCAAAGACUCGUGUAUACACACACACACACACAGCUUUCCAGUGGAGUGAGCGUUGCGAGGCUGGUUAUCGUGUUUUUCAUUUUCAACAAAAACGGUAACGUCGUUUUAUACGCGGUCGUUUGAUCGUCGUCGGCUUGGUUUAUGUUCGGUCUUAACACUCGUCUCGGGUAUGAUACAAACUCUAUCUCGGUAAUGAUCCAACACAACCAAAAUCAUGGCUUGUUUAUCAGGAUUGUGAGUAUAAUUUAAUAUUUAAUUUAAUAUUUAAUUUAUUAUAUUACUUAAAUUACAGGUAACAACUUGUACGUGUUGGACACCGUAAAGUCACAAGUGUAGUUUAACAGUUCAAAGUUUCUAUUGAAAUUAAUGUAUGAGUCAUAAAACUUGAAAUAUAUCUAAUGCGAUAUGAUUGAUGGAAUGAUUUGCAGACUAUAGUUAUAUGUAAUUAUUAAGAUUUUCGAUAUUUUAGACAUGUCCUUGACAUAGAAAUUAUAUUUGUAUUAGAUUUUAUCGACAUUAAUAUACCUAAUAUAAUAAUUUGGGAGAAAUUAAGGUAUUUUUAUCAAUUUUCACUAGAAAAAAAAAUAUAUAUAUAUAUAUUUCCAUGAUUGUGAAGGUAAUAUACAAGCGAUUUCAUGAUUAUUUUACAAAGUAAGCAUAUAGAAUACCUAACCCAUGAAAAGUAUCAGUUAUAAGCAUCCAUGUAGUAUAGAUAUAACUGUAUAAAUAAUAAUAAACUCCUAUUAUUUUGUAUAAAAUAAAUGCUGGGCCAUCUGUGUAAGAUAUGCGUUAAAAAUAAUUGAAAUAUAUAUAAAUGGUUUACUAUAUGAUAUCAUAAGUGAAAGAUUAUCACAGCUUGACGUAGGUACAUUUUAUUUUGUUUUUGCUAAUAUGUGAUGAAAAUAACUAUAUAAUAUUAUCUUUCUUGUUAUCGAAUACCAUGGAAUUUAAAUAUGAUUUUGUAGGUAUUAUAUUGCAUUUAAUUGUAGUAUUAGUAUUCACAGCGGCGUUGUGAUAUAUUUCAUGUAUCUACUGUAAAUAUAUAAUAAUUAAUAUAUGUUUAAGAAUUCAGGUAUCAAAUAAAAUAGGUAUAUAUUGAAAGCGCACCGAUAAAAUUCACCUUAUCGUUGUAUGUAGUGUUGUAACAACGUACGAGGCAGCGGUUACGCAACAGAUUAAAAGUCUUGGUCGAGAACGUCGAAACGAUGUCGUACGCAGGAUUCACUGGUAUACUAUAUUCAAACCGAUGAUUUUUACAAAGACCUGGAGAAUAAUUUCAAUUUACUCGAUCGAAUGGAUACAUCAGACUUACCACAAGAUCGUCCAUGUUACACGUUGCACUAUAAUAUAAUAGUUAAUACAUACAUACAUACACACACACACACACACACACACACACACACACACACACACACACACACACACAUACACACGUACAUACAUUUGCACACAUAUUUACUUAAACAACAUUCAUGUAUACAUAUAGACUCGAUUGAUUAUUUCAAAUAAUAAUUUGUAUAAAAUACUUUCAAUA